GACGAACGCUGGCGGCGUGCUUAACACAUGCAAGUCGAACGGUGACGAGGAGCUUGCUCCUCUGAUCAGUGGCGAACGGGUGAGUAACACGUGAGCAACCUGCCCCAGACUCUGGGAUAACAGUUGGAAACAGCUGCUAAUACCGGAUACGAGACGGAGAGGCAUCUCUACCGUCUGGAAAGUUUUUCGGUCUGGGAUGGACUCGCGGCCUAUCAGCUAGUUGGUGAGGUAAUGGCUCACCAAGGCGACGACGGGUAGCCGGCCUGAGAGGGCGACCGGCCACACUGGGACUGAGACACGGCCCAGACUCCUACGGGAGGCAGCAGUGGGGAAUAUUGCACAAUGGGCGAAAGCCUGAUGCAGCGACGCCGCGUGAGGGAUGACGGCCUUCGGUUGUAACGUCUUCAGCAGGAGAAGCGAAGUGACGGUACUGCAGAAGAAGCACCGGCUAACUACGUGCCAGCAGCCGCGGUAA
rnacentral:rRNA from 1 species